AACCUAUACCUUCCCGAGAAUCUCACAAAUAAGACUAUGGAUGUGGUUAGCAGUAAAAGCAUGGACCUUAACUCCCUUGUGACUUAGUUGAAUUUAAGGUCUACACAAUAUUCCAUCUUGUAACUUCUUUCAUCAAUACCAAGGAAACAUGGAUUGCAAUUCCAAAUGCAAUGAUAAGAGCUGUGCAUUAUGAUUCUGGAAUAUUCAGACUCCUUGCUUCUGAUGUUGCUUUGGAGGAAUCUAGUCCUUCCAGUGACUCUCCUACUGCCUGCCACAUCUGAAAACUAAUCUCUCCGAAAAGGAAGGAUUGUAUCUACGUGGGCACCUCACACAGCAGCUUUUGCCCUUUGUGUCAAGAUGCUUCUCACAUGGUCACCAAGAGGGAGAAGUAUGUGCCAGGUCCUGGUGAAUCAGGGGCUUAUUUGCAUCUUGAUUUUUUUCCUGACUGCUGCCUGCUUUGAGAUGACUGGCAAUCUUAAGUGAUUUGCAUUUUUCUUAUAAACUUACUGUGCUACUACCCAUGUGACUGUCCGAUUCCUUGUUCAGGGACACAAAAAUCUGGAAAGGAUAUGGUUGUCCAAUGAGCCUCUGUAUAUGCUGGUAACAUUUUUUUAAAUUUUAAAUAGCAUCUGCACUCAUAAUUCCCUGAAAGUCUUUCACCAAAACAAACUGCUUUAUUCUCAGUGAUUCACAUUAGGAUCUUCAAAAUAGUUUACACAUGAAAUGGGUUCUUUCCCUCCAAGGAACUGGAUUGUGGCCUGGUGUCUGGGCCAGUCUGAGAGAAGCAAAAAGGCAUUUGAAACCCCCAGACCUCUGUUUUGUGCGAGCAGUGUAUAAGGAAAACACAAGAAACAAUAAAGAACUUCCUGAUGUUGACACAGAUCUCCCAGGAAAUAAAGUUGAAAAAAGGUUGGCUAAAACAACCUGCAAGAGAAAUCCCAAAAUACUAACUUCUGAAGAGCUGUGACCUUCAAAGAGAAGCUAAUCCUGUACUAAGGUAAACUGCAAUGGAGUGGAGAGAAGUUGGAAGAAAAAUAUGAUGGGGGAUGUCCUUCUAUAUGCUGUGAAUGUAUGUUUUUCUUAUUGGUUGAUAGAUAAAUGCUUAUUGACCAGUAUCCAGGCAGGAAGCAUAGGCAGGGCUACCAGACUAGGAGAAUUCUGGGAAGAGAAGCAGUCACCAGAGAGACACAUGUAAUCACUGGGAAAAUAGGAUGAUAGGAUAACUCUUGGGUAAGAUAGGGCCAUGUGGAUAUACAUAGAUUAAUAGUUAUGGGUUAAUACUUAAGAGUGAGCUAGUUAAUAAGAAGCCUGAGCCACUGGUCAAACAAUUGUAAUUGUGAUUAAUAUACAAUGUAAUUAAUAUAGUGGAAAGAGAACUCUGUCAUCAUAAAUACAGAGUGACUGAACAA